GUGCCAGCCGCCGCGGUAAUACGUAGAGUGCAAGUGUUAAUCGGAAUUACUGGGCGUAAAGCGUGCGCAGGCGGUUUUGUAAGUCUGAUGUGAAAUCCCCGGGCUCAACCUGGGAAUUGCAUUGGAGACUGCAAGGCUAGAAUCUGGCAGAGGGGGGUAGAAUUCCACGUGUAGCAGUGAAAUGCGUAGAGAUGUGGAGGAACACCGAUGGCGAAGGCAGCCCCCUGGGUCAAGAUUGGCGCUCAUGCACGAAAGCGUGGGGAGCAAACAGGAUUAGAAACCCGUGUAGUCC
rnacentral:rRNA from 1 species